rnacentral:rRNA from 1 species
UGGGGAAUUUUGGACAAUGGGCGAAAGCCUGAUCCAGCAAUGCCGCGUGUGUGAAGAAGGCCUUCGGGUUGUAAAGUACUUUUGUCCGGAAAGAAAUCCUUGGCUCUAAUACAGUCGGGGGAUGACGGUACCGGAAGAAUAAGCACCGGCUAACUACGUGCCAGCAGCCGCGGUAAUACGUAGGGUGCAAGCGUUAAUCGGAAUUACUGGGCGUAAAGCGUGCGCAGGCGGUUUGCUAAGACCGAUGUGAAAUCCCCGGGCUCAACCUGGGAACUGCAUUGGUGACUGGCAGGCUAGAGUAUGGCAGAGGGGGGUAGAAUUCCACGUGUAGCAGUGAAAUGCGUAGAGAUGUGGAGGAAUACCGAUGGCGAAGGCAGCCCCCUGGGCCAAUACUGACGCUCAUGCACGAAAGCGUGGGGAGCAAACAGGAUUAGAUACCCUGGUAGUCCACGCCCUAAACGAUGUCAACUAGUUGUUGGGGAUUCAUUUCCUUAGUAACGUAGCUAACGCGUGAAGUUGACCGCCUGGGGAGUACGGUCGCAAGAUUAAAACUC